GCGCGGCGGCGGCGCUGAGGGGAGGCGGGCGGCAGGUAGAAAAGAGGCGCUUUAUUGGUACAUCGAUACGUAUAUACACAGUAUAUAUAAAAAGGGUUUAUACGCGUCGUACAAACGUUGACUCCCGCGGGUCUGGUUCCGUCCCCGGGAGCGCGGUGCGGAGGGGCAGUGUCCAGCACUGAGAGCCGAGGGGGGUGGGCUGGGCUGGCUGAGGGGCUGCGGCCUCACAGCGCGGAGGGCGUCGGGUCGGUGUUGUGGGGGGGGGGGGGGUGUUCCCGUUCCAGGCGGGCCUGAUGGCUUUUGGGAUGCUAUCGCUGGAAGAGCCUGGCCGCGUUAGCGGGUGCUCAGGUCUGUAAAGAGUGUGGCAGGUGCUUUUGUAUUGAUAGUGACCGAAGCUGGGGCUGCUGCUGGAACAGGAGAGGAGCAAACUUUGUCACUUGUUGCGACAGACGUCUGUUGUGUCAGACUGUGUGCCUGAAAGGAGCCAGGACUGAAAGCCCUCUGUGGCUGCUGGAGGUCAGGGAUGGAAGGGAAAAGUGGGGAACGCUCCUUCAUCGGAAGGAGUUGGAGGAAGGUGUGCAGCUGAAGAAGUCCUGGCUGAUCUGGCGUGGGUAACCCUCCAGCACCUUCACCUGGACAGGGUCGAACUUCCAGUAGUCUCGGCCUCUCAGGAAAUAGGCAAAGCCUGUGGAGGAGAGAGGGAGGAGCAGGUGAGAUAGCCUUCGCUCAGCUUUCAGCCCUGGGUAGUGCUGAAAGCAGCCAGUUUGUUCAGCACAGCUGCCUAGGCUGAACUGUGGGCAGAGCUGCUGUGCUCAUUGCUGUCAUUGUUGGGAGAGGUGACAGCUGGGUAGGGCUCUGAGACCGUUCAUUUACCAGAAGUUUUAAGUUUUCUCUUAUCAGAUCCUUAAAUGUUGAUUGUUCUAAUUAAUGCUUAAAAAACUCCAUACUUUCAUGAAAGAAUCCUCAGUUCCCUACCCACUGGAGGGACCUGUCUCAAUCUCUAUGAGCUGUAUGGCAUGCACUAUGGCUGGGAAGUGUCCACUGCUACCAGAUGUCUAAGUCUUUCUGGUGGGAAGCAGCAUCACCCUGAGUGCAUGCCCCAGAUCAGGCCCCGUCCCCACUGGUACUGACCCAACUCAUCCUGAAAAGCAGCAUCAAUCUCCUGUGGGACACCACGCCAGUCAGCCAUGGUCCGGGGGUAGACGUUGUCCACCUGGCGUGUAUGAGGGUUGAAGCGCCAGUAGUUGCCUCCACUGAAGAUGUAGAUCUUGUUCUUCUCUGCCCCCCACACCAGAGCUGCCUGCACAGGAGAAGCAGGGAGGCCCAGCUCCACAGUUGGGGUGGGACCAGAGACUCGUCUCUCGCCGUCAUAAAUCCAGUACUGAGAAUCUAGUGAGGAGAUGGAAAAGGAGAGACACAGGUUCAGAGGUUCUCAGAUGUCAGAUAACUUGGCAUUGAAUUGCAGACUGGAGCUGAUGCCUGGGCAGAGCUCCCAGGGAAAGCUGUUUAUGAAUGCCCACCAAGGGGGUAAGGAAUUCAAUUCUCCCCUCAGUUCAACCCAGAAUUGUCAGUGGUGGGAUUGGGAGGACUCCUAGCAGCUGUCUCUUCUGUAUUUGUGGAAGUUAUAAUACAAGAUUUAGCUCUACGUGCUAGCUGCCAGGCUGCCUUUCCUGGCCUCUCACAGGCUCAUGGUUGUGGUGUUGGAGAGGCCUGUGUGGAUUUGAAAGGAUGUUUUUCUCUAGCUGCUCCAGUCAGAUGGAGUUGCCUGUAGUUUUCAAGGAUGCAUUCGGGCAGUUGAAUCAGCCCUGAGCUUUGAGUUUGCCCUGGUUAUGCUGAAAAAGGAGUAGAACCCAUUGUUGGUAAAGAAAUCCACAAAGCUGUAGAGUUUGACAAGACAAAGGCUGAUUCUCUGUGGUGAGGCCUGGGGCUGCCAGGUGGGUGCAGAGAAGCAAAAUGGGUUAUGCACUGGUUUAGGGGAGCACGUUCCUUGUGUGCCACAUCUGUGCGUGGGAUAGGGUCCAGAGAUCAGCCCCUACCCUGCCAGCUUAUCCGGAGGAGGUCAUACGUAGGCAUGCACAGGCAUAAGGGGGACAUGUGGCUGUAGAGAAGCAAGCUACAGAACCCAAUUUCUUGUUGCCAAGCUGAAACAGAGACUGGGAACGUAUUUCCAGUUUAGAUUAAAAUGGGAAUUUUGUGUAAUUGCCCUCUGGCAUGUAAUACUUUCCCCUUAUCUCAUUUUAAUUCAUGGUGGGAGCCUGCCAGUUUUCACACUGUAAAUCUCAUCUGCAGGUGAGGUGCUAAGCCAUCUGUUUAUGUGGUAAAGCUGCCUGCAGAACUGCUUGGUGUGGUUUCUGGUGCUUGGUCUCAUAGUGCACAGAUGGGGCAUGCACACUCAGGGCAGUUGGACAUAGUUACAUAGUUCUGUGUCCCUGCUAUUAAAUACACACUUGGAAAGAGCAUUAGGGAAAACAAUGGAGCUGAAACAGGAGUCCUUGCUGGUCUUAAGCUCCAGAGUUGUCCAGGAGAAGGUCUCGCCCCACUGUGGUGACUGACGUUGAAUCCCUGUGGUGGCUGGAGGUUGCCUGGCUCUGCACAAAGUCUCCCUUCUUUGUGGGCUCACAGUUCUGGGAUGCUAGCAAAACUCAGUGACUGUGGACAGCAAUAACUCUGCCCUUUUUCUCCUGUUUUCAUCCCCAAGGGAGAUGUUUCAAGUGUUUCCUUCCUCCUCUGCCAGCAGCAGGGCCAGGGGAGAAGCUCAAAACAAUUGUGUUCCAGAGGAGAAUGGCAUAUCUUGGCUGUAUCUAAAGUGAAAGUGACCCUUUCUUCUCUCUUCCCCCCUUGAUAUCUGCUAAAAUACUUAAACAGAGAAAUAAAUAAACAGCAAGGAUCGUGAUUUACUGAGUGUAUCCUAAGGGCUUCUCCUCCCCAGGAACUUGUUGUGUCCUGAAUACUCUGUAGAGAAGAUUCACUUCUGAGCCGUCUGAUCCCAGUCCAGCUCUUACCUUGGAAAAACCAGAUAUUGCCCAGAGGGUCCUCGAAGGUGGCAUCGACAGAGCUUGGGAUUCCCUGCCAGUGACGUGAGGCCAGAGCUGGGUAGCCAGCCUGCAGCUUUCCAGCUCGGAGCCGCCACACGUAGCGAGAUGUGAAGAAGAACAGCUCUCCUCGGAUGGUGGCUGCGGCGUCAAAAGCUGUCUCGCAGGCAUCGGGCUGCACAGCCUGCCAAAGCAUGGCCUGGUCAGGGGCUGGGACCCAUGAGAGCUGCCCUUACCCAGGCUGGGUUCAGCUGAUGAGACAUCCCCAUGUCCAGGACGUUACCCUACAACUGGGCUCAGUGGUGUGGGAGGAAAACAGGCAUCAAACCAUGCGCAAGCCUGCUGCUGGCCCCAUGGUGUGGGCAGUCCCAGCAGCUGAGAACAAGCCACAGUGUUAAAGGAGACACAGACAAACUGUUCACUUACCUCCGUGUUGGUGAUCUCAUUUGUUUCAAGGUCUGGCUGGGGCAGCUCUGCUGGCUGCGUUGGGGUUGGGUCAGGAUCCAGUUUGGGUUUCCCAUAGAGGUACUGGAUACCUUGCUUGUCAUCCUCACUCAGGCUCAGCGGGUAGCGGAAGAUGUAGAAAGGAGACAUCAGUGACUUGGAGACAGUUGUAUGCUGCAGGCCCAGCACGUGGCCAAACUCAUGAGCAGCCACCUGGAGGAGGUCAGUGCCUGCAAAGGGACAAGACAGGAGACACUUGUGCCUGUUUGUGUGAGAUGGGCAGGCUUUACUCACAGAGAGGAGACGCUGUCCUAUUAGGUUCAUUGCUGAUUGUCAGCUCCUGACAAUGCAUUGAGGUAUGCUCUAGGAGUCUGACAUGCAGCAAUAGAAAUCUAGCUUCCAGAUUGUUCCUGUAUGUUUUCCUGUAUAGCUCUAUACGUUGUGUGUGUGUGGUUUUUAAAGAAUCAAAGGGUAUAAUUAAGGGAUCCAUUGAUUCCAGUGCACUGUGAGUGAAUUCAUAUGCUCAGGUAUUAGCCUGGGCAUGUUGGUAAUCUAUAAUAAUGUCUCCACGGAGUUCUGUGCUCAUCAGCUAUCAGAAAGAUGAGGGUUUUCCACGUACUUACGGAGGGAGAACUUUGCAUAAAGAAGGAAACCUGGCCUAUAGAAGAAGGUGAUUGGGUGGAAAGGCUGUUUUUUGUUCACCCAAGCUUGCAACAGUUGUUAGCUACGGCUGUAAUGUAGCAGGUAGAGUAUCAUGUCUGCUGUGGCAGCUCCUGGUGUCAGUGGGGACUCCUGGGGAUGCAGCCUGCGAGUGGUGGCUGCCACGCAGACAGCAGAGGGAGCUCAUUUAUUGCUGUGUAUGGACUGUGGCAGGAGGAGGGCAUUGAAAGAUAAACGCAUAAGAAUUCCUCCAAUGUCAAGACCUGCCCUUCUUCACCAUGCUCGAGCAGUUGUAUGGGAGAUUGCAUUUUGGGAAUACGUGAUCUGACAGAGUCUAUAUGAGUAAAUAGAAGUGCAUUUCAGUAAACAAAAAUGUUGCUUGGCUGGCAGAUGUUAUUUAGCUUCCAAUAGAUCCUUUUUGAAGUCGAUACAUUUUAGGGAAGUCUGUAAGAGAAACAUUAAGCAGCAAAGCUUGUGAGCAGAGGCUGUUUGUUGACAAGUCUCAGCGUAUUCCUUCACUUGCCUUCAGCCAGAAAUCCUCCGAGCUGCAGCCCAGGUGAUGAGAAAGGCAGGGAUGUGAGUCAGCUGGUCUCACUGCUCCGAGCGGAAUUUCCCUGCUGGCCAAGGGGAGCAGGUCACUGCUCAGCACCGGGAUGGGGAUGCAGCUGGAAGGGCGCCUGGGAAGGGUGGAGGGGAAGGUGAGCCCUGGUCUUCCCCUGCUGGUCAGCCACACAUAGAAAGGAUGAAUUUUUGCAGCACUGACACAGUUAAAUCAACACACCUAGCUCAGCUGACAAAGCAGGAUCUCUGUGUCAGUGAUUUAUUACAAACUUUCAGAUGCUUGUGUUUAGCUUGGCAGGCUUUCCGAGGCUCACUCGAUGCUUUCCAGUGUUGGCAGAUCUGCAGCACUACUGUCAGAUUCUCUGGGGAGGUGAAGGACAGCACGUCUGCAAGAGCUGUGCUGGGUGCUUCGCUGUCCCUCACAGAAGGUCCUCUGCAUGCAGUCGUGCUCCCUGCACGGCUCUGGGCUGACCCCGAGUCACCUUACCCCCUCUGCUCUGCCAUGUAUAUAAUGAGGCUAAGGAUUUUCCUGUGUCUGAGAGCUGAGGCAAGGAUUAAACCAUGUUUAUAUCAUAAAGCUCUUUUUGGCAUAUUAAAUAGCAAUUAGCUGCAAAGACCUUCUAUAACAUUUAUUUAUGGAAGGCAGAGGGGGGGAAAAGGCCAUGGAACAGAGCUGGAUUCUGAUGGGAACUGGCAUCUGUUUUGACAGUUCUGGUUUGCCUCCAACACUGUCUAGGAGAGAAUGUAGGAAAUUCUUCAGCACGUGCAGCCCCAAGGGGAGGUGCAAAGUGGCAGAACCCACCUGUCCCUGAGCAGCAGAAAGGUUUCAGCAGCAAGACCUGGUGCUGAGUUUCUUGUAUCAGGGUGGCAUGGACCAAGUUGGAGACGUGACAGUCCUGUCCCCCACGGAGUCAACCUGGUGUUCACCUGACAGAGUCAGACUUGAGGGGGGCCCAUCUGAGCCCUGACGUUGAUGUGGACAAAAUAUCCAGAAAACCUCAGAGGGGCAGAGAUUUAACUCAGGCUUUGUGAUUGUGUCUUUGCCCCUGCACUAGUUAUGGUGGCUCUUGCGGAAAUGGAUGCUUUGGGCACUAGUUCAGAUGGUCCCAAGUGGUACUGUGGUAUCACAUGGAUACUGUGACACCGGGCCCCAAAUGCCUGAGCAGUGAGCUACCAGCUCAGAUCUAUUAUUAGCAAAGAAAAAAAAGUCUUGACUUGCAGUGGCAUUGUUUAUGGUCAGAGCAUUCCCAGGCCACAGGGACAGAGCUGGAGCCUGGGUAGCUUCCCUUUAUGGACUUGUUCAAAGGGAAAAUACUCUAAGGGCAUGCAGGACUGAAUCUGAGGCCUGAUUGCUAUGCUGUCCUUUGGAAGCCACGUGGUGUGUCACCCAGUGUGUGAGCCUGUGUCUGCCCUGGGAAUCCAGGGUCCUGGUGCCGGGUAUAGGCUUUGCUGUGGCUGGAAGAGGACAAAAAGUCCAGCAGGCUUCUAAGUGGCAGGAAGUGACAGUACAUCCCCCAAGAAUGGUGGUUGCAUAUCGGUUUUAUAGGGGCCCAGCUCAAAGCAUAAUUAAAUAAUCUCUAAGUAUGCUGACAAGCACCUGGCACACCACAGCUCCCUUAAACAGUACCAUACCCAGGUUGUUCCCGAUCGUCCAGGUCUCAUCAUAGUCAAAAUGGACAUCUCCUUCCCGAUGCGUCUUGGGGAAGAAUGCGUGUGCCAGGAUCCCUCCGGGCCCAUCAAAGGGCAAAUUGUCACCAUGCCAGUACCUGGAGGGAAACCACAGUGCACAUCAGACAAACGACCAUGUGGCUCAGGUGCUUGGCAUCGCACAGCCAAAAGUGGAGAGUCACCAUGAGGAGACAGCAGCUCUCCUUCCCACCAAAGCCCAUCCCAUGAUUGACUGCUUGGAGCCCUACAGGUUGAUGCCAACCUGGUUCUGUGCUGGAGCACUGAGUAAGCAGAGCCCCGUCACGCCAGGCCCAGGGGAGUUUUAUGGUUUUCUCAAGACAAAGCUGAAGAUGGAACCUAAAGAAUUAAGGAGAGCCAGAAUCAAGUCAACCCAGCUGAAUGGCAGGGGGAUGUGGAGGGGCAGCCUGUGAGGAAGCCAGCCAAAUCCUCAGGUCCUCACUCAAGCUGCGCCCACUGUUGGCAACUGAAGGAAACCCAUGAGAUGUGACCGCUUUAGGGAGCUGAGGGUGGCACAGGCAAAUACACAGAACACAAAUCGCAUCCCUGCUUGGACAGUCUCCACUGCCGUUCUCAGUUUUGUGCAAACAGGCCACAGAGGGAAGUCUUUGCUCCCGUGCAUGUUUUGCCAGCCAUUAAUUUCAGGCCAAGAGCCAAAAUUCAUUUAAUGAGGAAACUAUAUUUGUCUUCAGGCAGACGGUUGCAUUGUUCUGUCAGGGGACAGGAUGGAGGACCUGAAGAUGGAACGUCAAAACAAACACUUAGGAAAACAGCCUGUGGGCAGAGAAGUGUAAAUAUAUGCAGAAAGUUAAUGAUGGAUUAGUAACGGUGCUGUGCACAGCCAGCGUGGAACAGUUGCAUUUACAUUAAGCGGCCCACAUCUGACAGAAGAACCAAAAACAUGCCCAAGUCUGAGAGCUGAAAUACGAGCCUCCGUGUCAGUGCCUGCGCUGUGCUGGCAGCUCAGCUGCAGGCCUGGGAUCUCAUACACAGUGCUGCUGCUCCAUCUGAGAGCACUGUGUUGCUGCCCACUGUACUCACCUUGUGAAAUCAAUGACAAUGUCAGCCCGGCCCUCCUGAACCUCAGUGAAGGUCAGCGGUGUCACAUCGCUCCAGACUUUCAGAGCCUCCUCGAUGGUCCUUCUCACCUUGGAUUUUACAAGUUGCCAUGGGAAUCUGAUAAUUCUGAAAGGCAAAAGACACCAGGGGAAAAGAGCAUCAGCCACUCCCUCUUGGCAUCAGAGCAUCUCCAAUCCAGAGAAGCUCCACUCCAGCACCCUCUUCCAUGCAACACUGCAGCAGACAAAUUCCAUCAGUGCUGAAACCCUCAGGCUACUGGGUCCAGAGGUGAGAUCAGUCUUGUCCCAGCGUCCCCCGGAAAGGACGAAGCGUUUCUGCCGGUUGCGCCCGUUCUGGCCAUCCGGCAGCACCGGGAGGUCCGGCACACCACAACGGGGUGUGAUGUUUUCGAGACAUGUCCUGAAAGAGAAAAGCAAAGCUGUCACUUCUGUGUCUGGGAUAUGAGAGGUCUUGAUGGACGGAUGGACAUCUACAAACAGCACAUCUGCAGAGGGCCAGGAGGCACCAGGCAGCCACUCCAAGGCACAAGGGGAGGAGGAGUGAAGAUGGACUCCAGGGAAAGCCCUCAUUGUGGAACUGGGACGGGAGCUACCCAGGAUAACCCACAGUCAGGGAUGCUGAAUGUACACAGGAACAGGCAGCUUUCUGCUGGGGAAGAAGCCAAGGCUUUGCGAUGGAGACUGAGCAGCAAAAUUUCUACAAGUGCAGAGAGGCUGCCAGGCCUGAAACCCAGAGCAGAGAAGAGCAGAGGAACAAAACUGUACACAAAGAGGACUGUGCAGAGAAAGUAUCUCUUCCUGACAUUCUUGUGACCAAAAGGCUGAGGGGGAACUGGAGGAAACGGACAGAUCCCAUGGGAGAGCAGAAACCACCAUGGAGGUGCUGACUGCCCACUCGGUUCCUUCCAGCUGUCUCAGUACUCAAAUUCUGUGACACAACAUACAUCUCUCUGGCUCUGCUGGGGCCAGAUGAACAUCAGCCAAACUUCCCAGGAAGUGUCCCAGCCAUCCCGAGGAGCCAGGAGCAUCUUUAACCUCAUUGUGUUGGGCAGCACUCGUCCCCCAGAAAGAGAAGCAGCCAGAGCAGCACAGCUACAAUGGAUGUAUAAAAAACCUCAAGAGCAGGGCCGCUGCCUGGUACAGACAACUCCAGUGCUCUCCUCUUCCAUCCUCUGCUGCCUGCCCUGAACUUAAACUUGUCUUUUCUGUCAUGCACCUAAUUACCUCCACGGCUGGGCUUCUGCUGACUCCUACAGCACAGACAUGAAAGGAGACCCCCCUCCCUGUCAGAUGGGAGGGACUGGACAAGCUACAGCAUGAAUUCCAUCCGUCUUGGAUACUUCCCCUGUGGCUGAGGGCUGUUUUCUCUUCUGCUUUGGGAUGAGUAGAUGGGCUUUCUCCCCACCUCCCUGUCCCUUCUGCUGCUUUUCUAUUUCUCCUUGUUUUCUUCUUGUUACUCAGAGUAUUUGCCAUGGCCCCAGUAUUUGCUGCCCCUUUGGCUACUACAGUUAUCCUCCUCCCAUGCAUGAGUCUGCACCUUGGAGCACUCCUUCCCUUAGCUCACUGUGUGGAGAAGAAGAGCAGAUAUGCUUUCUCCCGUGGCUCUCGUGUACGACAAUUCCAGCAUGUCUUUUCUGUCUGCUGCCAGGCAGCUGUGCCCCCUCAGUGGCUCUGCACCCCUGAACAGACUCUUGGUGAUGCUCUCACCUGACAUCAGCGCUGGUUUCCUCAGGCACAGAGUACUGUGCCCAGUAUUUUGACCAGCCUGCUUCUCAUCCCAGCAUGGAUCUGCAGGGGUUGGAUUGGAAUUGCACCUACAGCUGCUAGUUAGCAGUGAAACCGAGGUCACCCCACUCUGGAGUAGAAAGUGGAAGCAGACCAUAAGUGCAGCACUGGGUGGUCACAAAGGUGUGAAUGCUGUAGCUGAAAGUCCACAGCAGAAACAUUUUUUUUUUGUGCUGCUGGUCAGAAGGCACAGUUAAUGGAAACUCUGUAGAAGAAACGUGCAAGCAAAGCCAACAGACUAUUGAUCCUUCUCCCUGAACAAGGCUCCCUCCCAGCCCCAUUGAAUUCCUUACUUACACCAAACACAUCUAUAACAGGACUGGCUCCUUCAAGCUGGGCUGCAGCCCUGUCCUACUGCACACAGAGCAGAGGGAAUGCAAAGGACAAGGCCAAACUUUGGCCAAACGAGGCCAAAUGGGAGGUGCCGCAGUUCCUGGCCUUCACACAGUUGGAGGUUCCUCUCUGCUCACUCCCAUACUUCACAGCACCACCAAGCAUGACCUCCUGUGCCCUGACGGUUUGUUUCCGGAUUAUUUGGUGAUAGUUGUUGUUGGCAAUGAAAGAAGGAAAAUGUUUAUUUUUCCUAAGCAACGUGGAACAUGAAACAUUAUAGACUGCAAAUGUUUAUGCCCACAGUCAGAAUGAAAAGGCCCAGGCUCUGAUGUAACAAGAGAAAGCAAAUGAAUAAACACUGGAGGACUA